rnacentral:lncRNA from 11 species
GAUAAAGGGCCAGCAUGAAGCACUACAGCCCCUUUAAACAUGAUUAGUUUUGACCACAGAGUACCUAAGGAGCUCACAUCUGUCUUACAGAAACGCGAAGGCUGUCACUCACACAGGACUGAGAAUUGCCAUCAUCAUCAUCACCAUCAUCUCAUUGUUUAGCAGCUCAGUAGUUGUCAAGGCUAAACAUACCCAGGCAGAGGCACGAAUGGAGAGAGCAAGGGAGAAACGUGUCAAGAGGAAGGCACGUCAAGUCAACCCUGACCAGGAUCGCCUUCCAUCUGAAAUCGAUGUCCUCACUGUGAAAUAAUAUGCAGAAUUUAUUCAGAAUAUUUGGAAAAAAAGUCACUCUCUCACCAUCCCCCACCAUUGCACACAUGCAUACAGCACAAAAGCACACACAUGCAGAUGCAGAAAGU